GACGAACGCUGGCGGCGUGCUUAACACAUGCAAGUCGAGCGAUGAAUUUUCUUCGGAAAUGGAUUAGCGGCGAACGGGUGAGGAACACGUGAAGAAUCUGCCCUCCACUUUGGGAUAACACAGGGAAACCUGUGCUAAUACCGAAUAUUGAAACAUAAGUGGCAUCACUGAGUUUUGAAAGAAUUUCGGUGGAGGAUGACUUCGCGGCCUAUCAGCUAGUUGGUGAGGUAAUGGCUCACCAAGGCAACGACGGGUAGCCGGCCUGAGAGGGCGACCGGCCACACUGGGACUGAGACACGGCCCAGACUCCUACGGGAGGCAGCAGUGGGGAAUAUUGGUCAAUGGACGCAAGUCUGAACCAGCCAUGCCGCGUGAAGGAUGAAGGUCCUCUGGAUUGUAAACUUCUUUUAUAUGGGAAGAAAUUCUCGCAUUCUUGCGGGAUUGACGGUACCAUAGGAAUAAGCACCGGCUAACUCCGUGCCAGCCGCCGCCGUAA
rnacentral:rRNA from 1 species